AGAGUUUGAUCCUGGCUCAGAUUGAACGCUGGCGGUAUGCUUAACACAUGCAAGUCGAACGGUAACAGGUCGCUGUGAUCUCUUCGGAGUGAACUUGAUGCUGACGAGUGGCGGACGGGUGAGUAAUACUUAGGAAUCUACCCAGUAGUGGGGGACAACACGACGAAAGUCGUGCUAAUACCGCAUACGCCCUAAGGGGGAAAGUGGAGGAUCUUCGGACUUCACGCUAUUGGAUGAGCCUAAGUCGGAUUAGCUUGUUGGUGAGGUAAUGGCUCACCAAGGCGACGAUCCGUAGCUGGUCUGAGAGGACGAUCAGCCACACUGGGACUGAGACACGGCCCAGACUCCUACGGGAGGCAGCAGUGGGGAAUAUUGGACAAUGGGCGCAAGCCUGAUCCAGCAAUACCGCGUGUGUGAAGAAGGCCUGCGGGUUGUAAAGCACUUUCAGUAGAGAAGAAAAGCUUAGGGUUAAUACCCCUGGGUCUUGACGUAACCUACAGAAGAAGCACCGGCUAACUCCGUGCCAGCAGCCGCGGUAAUACGGGGGGUGCAAGCGUUAAUCGGAAUUACUGGGCGUAAAGCGCGCGUAGGCGGUCUGGUCAGUCGGAUGUGAAAGCCCUGGGCUCAACCUGGGAAUGGCAUUCGAUACUGCCAGACUAGAAUGUGGAAGAGGGAAGUGGAAUUUCCGGUGUAGCGGUGAAAUGCGUAGAUAUCGGAAGGAACACCAGUGGCGAAGGCGGCUUCCUGGUCCAACAUUGACGCUGAGGUGCGAAAGCGUGGGGAGCGAACAGGAUUAGAUACCCUGGUAGUCCACGCCGUAAACGAUGAGAACUAGAUGUCGGGAGGGUUUAGCCUUUCGGUGUCGCAGCUAACGCGUUAAGUUCUCCGCCUGGGGAGUACGGUGGCAACACUAAAACUCAAAGGAAUUGACGGGGACCCGCACAAGCGGUGGAGCAUGUGGUUUAAUUCGAUGCAACGCGAAGAACCUUACCUGCCCUUGACAUUGACAGAAUCCCGUAGAGAUAUGGGAGUGCUUCGGCCUGGAAAACAGGUGCUGCAUGGCUGUCGUCAGCUCGUGUCGUGAGAUGUUGGGUUAAGUCCCGCAACGAGCGCAACCCUUGUCCUUAGUUGCCAGCACGUAAUGGUGGGAACUCUAAGGAGACCGCCGGUGAUAAACCGGAGGAAGGUGGGGAUGACGUCAAGUCAUCA
rnacentral:rRNA from 1 species